GCGCUUGUGAUGUAGUGGUAUCAUAUUGCUCUUAUACUAGCUUUGUUACGAAGCCCGUAUGGUAGAAAUGCAAAGGUCGUGAGUUCAAUCCUCACCUGGCGCA